CCUACGGGGGGCAGCAGUGGGGAAUAUUGGACAAUGGGGGGAACCCUGAUCCAGCCAUGCCGCGUGUGUGAAGAAGGCCCUCGGGUUGUAAAGCACUUUCAGUGAGGAAGAACGCCUGGUGGUGAAUACCCAUCAGGAAAGACAUCACUCACAGAAGAAGCACCGGCUAACUCCGUGCCAGCAGCCGCGGUAAUACGGAGGGUGCGAGCGUUAAUCGGAAUUACUGGGCGUAAAGCGCGCGUAGGUGGCUUGAUAAGCCGGUUGUGAAAGCCCCGGGCUCAACCUGGGAACGGCAUCCGGAACUGUCAAGCUAGAGUGCAGGAGAGGAAGGUAGAAUUCCCGGUGUAGCGGUGAAAUGCGUAGAGAUCGGGAGGAAUACCAGUGGCGAAGGCGGCCUUCUGGACUGAAACUGACACUGAGGUGCGAAAGCGUGGGUAGCAAACAGGAUUAGAUACCCUAGUAGUC
rnacentral:rRNA from 1 species